rnacentral:lncRNA from 1 species
AGUGUUCCAGAGGACAUCUGCAGGCUGCAGAAACGCUAUGGAAGUUGGAGAAAUGACACCCUGUCUGCAGUGUUUUACAAUUCUGAAGUAAGCAGUUUCAAGCGUACUGAAAAGCACAGGCUCUUCUAGUCAGCUCUUACUCUUUGCUCUCUGCCAUGUUAUGAAAACAGAAUUUGAACUUGAAUUCCAUGAUUUGAAAAAGAGGAUCUGCAGACGAGUUAAAACUGCAGAGGAUAAACUGAUAUCCAAGAAGAUAUUUUUGAAACCAAUCUUCAUGUCAGUUUCUUGAAAAAAGGAAAGCAUUUACAAGGAGUAACAAGGGAUUGAUGAAUGAAGUGGACAGAAUUAUUUGCAGAGAUGUAUGCGUCUUACUUCUCUGUGACUCCUGAAUUCAAACAGCAGGCUGGUUUUACUGAAGAAUCAUGAUAAUGUACAGUCUUGUGAGCACUGUCAGGAAAAGGAGCCAUGAAAUACUGUUUAAUCUCCAGAAGAGUCCCAGGAAUGAUUUUCAAGACCCAUUUCCUUCUGCUUCGCUACUAGGCUACUGCCGGUGACGUUUUAUGACUGCACUUGAGUGGCUCUUGCAUCUGAGCACAACAGACAAAGAAAUAAGCUGAUGCCUUAAGAAUUGCAAAGUGAAAAUGGUGAAAAUAGUGGAGAGGAAGUGAUUUCAGGGUGAAGAGAAUAUGUUUAUUUUUGAGGGGAUAAGAACAGUCUUCUGGGAAUUCACAUAGGCUCGUUCUAGUCUGAUACCAUUCUCCAGGGCAGUAUUGUGUUUUGAAUGGAAAUUGGGCUGUAUGAGAUCCCCUGCUUCUCCUCUUGUCUACUCAAAGCUAGUGAGCAUGGAGAAAUUGUGAGCUGUGAGAGACAGAACAUAAGGAAAAUGUUGGCUUUGAAGCCCAGUUGUCCACGGGAGUUUGUGCACCUAUGCUACUGUGAAUAAUCAGCAGAUGAUGCUUUUUUCUCUGUUUUCAUGCUUCUUCUCAGAUACCACUGACCUGAACUAAUGCAACCAGAUACUUCCAGACUUAAAUCUAGAUCCCUCAGGGUGGUAAUUCAAAGUUGAACAUGUUGAUGUAAAUUAAGGAAGACUUAAUUCACAAGCCGUGUAUCUGUAUGAAGGCUCAUAUAUAUCUAACCCAGGGAUUUUUUUCAUCUCUUGGUUAGAGGAGUGGGUCUGGUAACUAGAAUUCUAAUCUUUCUAAUACUGUCUCAGCAUAAUGUGUGUGUUGCCUUUGUGCUUGAUUGGCUCAACUAUCACACGAAUCCAUACUAAUAAUAAU